rnacentral:rRNA from 1 species
CCAGGGUAAGUCGGGACCUAAGGCGAGGCCGACAGGCGUAGUCGAUGGAUAACCGGUUGAUAUUCCGGUACCCGCUGUGAAGCGUCAAACAUCGAGCAUCGUGAUGCUAAGGCCGUGAAGCCGCCCUGAUCUCUUCGGAGUUGAGGGGAGUGGUGGAGCCGCCGGACCAAGCGGUUAGUAGGUGAGUGAUGGGGUGACGCAGGAAGGUAGUCCAGCCCGGGCGGUGGUUGUCCCGGGGUAAGGGUGUAGCCCGUCAUCCAGGCAAAUCCGGAUGACAUGUGGGUGAGACCUGAUGCCGAGCCGAUUGUGGUGAAGUGGAUGAUCCUAUGCUGUCGAGAAAAGCCUCUAGCGAGUUUCAUGGCGGCCCGUACCCUAAACCGACUCAGGUGGUCUGGUAGAGAAUACCGAGGCGUUCGGGUGAACUAUGGUUAAGGAACUCGGCAAAAUGCCCCCGUAACUUCGGGAGAAGGGGGGCCACACCCGGUGAAGGAACUUGCUUCCUGAGCUGGGGGUGGCCGCAGAGACCAGCGAGAAGCGACUGUUUACUAAAAACACAGGUCCGUGCGAAGCCGUAAGGCGAUGUAUACGGACUGACGCCUGCCCGGUGCUGGAACGUUAAGGGGACCGGUUAGUCACUCUUCGGGGUGGCGAAGCUGAGAACUUAAGCGCCAGUAAACGGCGGUGGUAACUAUAACCAUCCUAAGGUAGCGAAAUUCCUUGUCGGGUAAGUUCCGACCUGCACGAAUGGCGUAACGACUUCUCGACUGUCUCAACCAUAGGCCCGGUGAAAUUGCACUACGAGUAAAGAUGCUCGUUUCGCGCAGCAGGACGGAAAGACCCCGGGACCUUUACUACAGUUUGAUAUUGGUGUUCGGUUCGGCUUGUGUAGGAUAGCUGGGAGACUUUGAAACGCGGACGCCAGUUCGUGUGGAGUCGUCGUUGAAAUACCAGUCUGGUCGUGCUGGAUGUCUAACCUGGGUCCGUGAUCCGGAUCAGGGACAGUGUCUGAUGGGUAGUUUAACUGGGGCGGUUGCCUCCUAAAGGGUAACGGAGGCGCCCAAAGGUUCCCUCAGCCUGGUUGGCAAUCAGGUGUUGAGUGUAAGUGCACAAGGGAGCUUGACUGUGAGACCGACGGGUCGAGCAGGGACGAAAGUCGGGACUAGUGAUCCGGCGGUGGCUUGUGGAAGCGCCGUCGCUCAACGGAUAAAAGGUACCCCGGGGAUAACAGGCUGAUCUUCCCCAAGAGUCCAUAUCGACGGGAUGGUUUGGCACCUCGAUGUCGGCUCGUCGCAUCCUGGGGCUGGAGUCGGUCCCAAGGGUUGGGCUGUUCGCCCAUUAAAGCGGUACGCGAGCUGGGUUUAGAACGUCGUGAGACAGUUCGGUCCCUAUCCGCUGUGCGCGUAGGAGUCUUGAGAAGGGCUGUCCCUAGUACGAGAGGACCGGGACGGACGAACCUCUGGUGUGCCAGUUGUUCUGCCAAGGGCAUGGCUGGUUGGCUACGUUCGGGAGGGAUAACCGCUGAAAGCAUCUAAGCGGGAAGCCUGCUUCGAGAUGAGGACUCCCACCUCUAUAAGAGGGUAAGGCUCCCAGUAGACGACUGGGUUGAUAGGCCGGAUCUGGAAGCCAGGUGACUGGUGGAGGUGACCGGUACUAAUAGGCCGAGGGCUUGUCCUC